UACGAGGGGGGCGAGCGUUGUUCGGAAUUAUUGGGCGUAAAGGGUGCGUAGGCGGUUUGGUAAGUCUUAUGUGAAAUCUAUGGGCUCAACUCAUAGUCUGCAUGAGAAACUGCCGGGCUUGAGUAUGGGAGAGGUGAGUGGAAUUCCUGGUGUAGCGGUGAAAUGCGUAGAUAUCAGGAGGAACACCUGUGGCGAAAGCGGCUCACUGGACCAUAACUGACGCUGAUGCACGAAAGCGUGGGGAUCAAACAGG
rnacentral:rRNA from 1 species